rnacentral:misc_RNA from 1 species
GCGUGGACGAGGUCCGCCUUUU